rnacentral:lncRNA from 1 species
AUCCAGCACCGCGGCCGCGCGACUGGUCGCUCCGCCGCCGCCUCCCGGGUGCUGUCGCCCGCCCAGCGGAGCAGGGGAAGCGCUGAGCCCACGCUGGCCCCGCUCCUCUCCGUUGCCGGGUCCGCUCCCACGGGCUCGGCCCCCAGACCCUCAGUGGCACCCACCCUGUGCGGCCCUCGUGUGGCCCCAGCCCCGCUCCCCGUCCCCGUUCCACAGACGCUGGGGCGCAGGGGCGGCUCCGCCCUGCCCUUCACCCGCACGGUAGAGGGGUCACGGCUCACCGCAGCCUCCGCCUCCGGGCUCCAGCGGUCCUCGCAGGCGCGCCCCACCACGCUCAGCUAAUUUUUUCUUAUUUUUUAUAGAGAUGCGGUCUCCUGAAAAGUAGCCACUCUUUUUUGUUUUGUUUUGUUUUGUUUGGGGGGCGGGGGACAGAGUCUUGCUCUUUCGCCAGGCUGGAGUGCAGUGGCGCGAUCUCGGCUCGGAAUCUCCACCUCCCGGGCUCAAGCGAUUCUCCCGUCUCAGCUUCCGGAGUAGCUGGGACUACAGGCGCGCGCCACCACGCCCGGUUAAUUUUUUUGUAUUUUAGUAGAGACAGGGUUUCACCAUGUUGGCCAGGAUGGUCUCGAUAUCCUGACCUCGUGAUCCGCCUUCCUCGGCCUCCCAAAGUGCUGGGAUUACAAGCGUGAGCCACGCGCCCGGCCUUUUUUUUUUUUUUUUUUUAAGAGACCGGCCCACUAUGUUGCCCAGGCAGAUCUCGAACUGCUGAGCUCAAGCGAUCCUCCCGCCUCCCCUCCCGAAGUGCUAGGAUUCCAGGUGUGGCCACCGCGCCCACCACUUCCUUGCCUCCUCUCCCAAGCUUGCCCUCCUGUCUCCUGCUUUCCCUUAGACAAACUCAUAUGAUCCUGGGCCCGCGCAGAUAAUCUGGCAUAAUCUCAAAAUCCUUAAUCCCAUCUCUGGGGCCACAAUUCAACCAACUACAAGCUUGAAUUUGGGGAAUGAGCCAUGGAGGUGUUGGGGAGAGCGUGUUCCUGGCAGUGCAAGAGCCAGGAGGCAGGAGACAGCCGUCUGCAGCAGCCCCACUCCCGCCCUCCAGGGGCUGUGCCUUCUCCUACAGCUGGACGGUACUGCUGCCAUCUCGGCUCACUGCAACCUCCCUGCCUGAUUCUCCUGCCUCAGCCUGCCGAGUGCCUGCGAUUGCAGGCGCGCGCCGCCACGCCUGACUGGUUUUCCUAUUUUUUUGGUGGAGAUGGGGUUUCGCUGUGUUGGCGGGGCUGGUCUCCAGCUCCUAACCGCGAGUGAUCCGCCAGCCUCCGCCUCCCGAGGCGCCGGGAUUGCAGACGGGAGUCUCGUUCACUCAGUGCUCAAUGGUGCCCAGGCUGGAGUGCAGUGGCGUGAUCUCGGCUCGCUACAACCUCCACCUCCCACCCGCCUGCCUUGGCCCCCCCAAAGUGCUGAGAUUGCAGCCUCUGCCCGGCCGCCACCCCGUCUGGGAAGUGAGGAGCUUCUCUGCCUGGCCGCCCAUCGUCUGGGAUGUGAGGAGCCCCUCUGCCUGGCUGCCCAGUCUGGAAAGUGAGGAGCGUCUCUGCCCGGCCGCCCAUCGUCUGAGAUGUGGGGAGCACCUCUGCCCUGCCGCCCCGUCUGGGAUGCGAGGAGCGUCUCUGCCCGGCUGCCCCGUCUGAGAAGUGAGGAGCCCCUCUGCCUGCCAACCGCCCCGUCUGGGAAGUGAGGAGCGUCUCCGCCCGGCAGCCACCCCGUCCUGGAGGGAGAAGUACCAGGAGGAUCACGGCGCCCACAGCCUGGCAGCUGCUCCACCACACCUUCUCACUCGGUGCCGAGUGCAGCUGUUCCUGUCUGAGGAGGCUCAGUUUGGAAGCAGCCCCUCUUGGGACUCAGAAAUCAAGGUCUCCGCCUUCCCCUUCCUCGAGAACACCAACCUCUCAAUGAACUUUCACUUCUUACUGCGGUUAGCAGUUUUUAGCAAGUUAUUUUUAUCUAAUAAAAACAAUAUAUAGUUUUAAAAAUGCGAACUCUACAGGAGUUCGAGACCAGCCUGGCCAACAUGUGAAACCCCGUCUCUACUAAAAAUACAAAAAACUAGCUGGGCGCAUGCCCGUAGUCCCAGCUAUUCGGGAGGCUGAGGCAGAAGAAUUGCUUGAACCUGGGAGGCGGACGUUGCGGUGAGCCCAGAUUGCAGCACUGCACUCCAGUCUGGGCUACAGAGUGAGAUUUCAACUAAAAAAAAAAAAAAAAAAAAAAGUUGGGGCGUGGUGGCUCACGCCUGUAAUCCCAGCACUUUGGGAGGAUGAGGCAGGCAGGUGGAUCACGGGGUCAUAUUGAGACCAUCCUGGACAACAUGGUGAAACUCCGUCUCUACUAAAAAUACAAAAACUAGUUGGGCGUGGUGGCACUUGGCCUAUAAUCCCAGCUACUCGGGAGCCUGGAGAAUCGCUUGAACCCGGGAGGCAGAGAUUGCAGUGAGCCAAGAUUGCACCACUACACUCCAGCCUGGGUGACAGAGGGAGACUGUCUCCAAAAAAAAAAAAAAAAAAAAACAGCCAGGUGCGCUGGCUCAUGCCUGUAAUCCCAGCACUUUGGAAGGUCAAGGCAGGCAGACCACAACAUCAGAUUGAAACUAUCCUGGCUAAUACGGUGAAACCCCGUCUCUACUAAAAACAAAACAAAACAAAAACAAAAAUUAGCCGGGCUUGGUGGCUGUAGUCCCAGCUACUUGGGAGGCUGAGGCAGGAGAAUCUCUUGAACCUGGGAGGCAGAGGUUUCAGUGAGCCGAGAUCGCGCCACUGCACUCCGGCCUGAGCAACAGAGUUACUCAUUUCAAAUUAAAAAAUAAAUAAAUAAAUAAAAAGGGGGAGGCAAAGGAUUUAGAUGUUCCUCCAAAGACACACAAAUGGCCGCCAAGUACCUGUGAUGCUCCACGUCAUGACCCCUCGGGGAAAUGCAAAUCAAAACCACACGGCAAGGCCUUGGAGGCCCAGCUGCUCAGAGGCUGCAGUGAACGAACCGUGUUGCUUCUUGGAAGUUAACACACAGCUCCACGUGGCCCCGAAAGCCCCUCCUAGGUGUAUCCCCCAAAGGAGUCAAAGCAGGUGCCCAAAGCUAUACCAAGGCAGAUGCCCUGCCCUCUGGACUCUCUUCACCCUGUGCAGGACCCCCAGCCUGGCGGGAGAGGCUUCCUGUGGCGCAGGGGUUUGCAUUGUCCCUCAACACAUCCAGCUUCUGCCCUGGGGCUCUGCUCCCAGGGCUGUGUCGACCAUUGUGGGCACCUGUGGAGGGGCCCUGGGCUCCUGCGCCUCGGCUGAGAAAGAAAAUGACAGAACCCUGAAAACAGUGACAAGCCAACGAAGACAAGUGGUGACACCAGCCCAACAAUUCCAAAGGUUUAUUUCCUUACGUUGGUAUUAUACAAUAUAACGCAAAGGGCAGGAAAUCACACAAAAUUCGCUUUAAAAUAGACAAAGGGUCCAGCACUAUCAAGAGAACAUUCAACCAGGGGCAGCAGUUGAGGCGCCCAGGACCUGCUUGGACACACGCACAUGCGGCCGCGACGGAAGCAAGAGGACCAGGACACCGGGCAAGAUCCCCGCAGUGCCAGCUUCCCAGGACUCAGGAUUCCAGUCGGCCAUGAAGCAAUAAAUACAAACAUGCCCCACAAGGUGAGAAUAAAGCCAUCAAGGUGAUGAGGAAGAAGUCACGGGGAUUUUCUUCUUCUAAGUCCAAGCACAGUGGCAAUAUUUCAAGUAUUGCAAAGAAAAACACACGUGUGUGUAUUUUUGUCUGUUAUGUGGCGUGUGACCCUGGAACCCCCCGCAUGGGUCCAUGGCCCCACCACUGCCUCCCGCAGACUGGGGACUCGUUCAAGUAUCUACUGAUUCAGGCAGGGCUAAUCGAGGGCUGGGCAGACCAAGGGAGGCCCAGGCGGGGUUUGCAGGGCAUGCCCGCCUGGAAUCCGGAAGGCAGGCCUCUCUGCAGAUGCCCUCCGUGGCCUUGGGCAAGGCAGAGGCAGGGAGGGACAGGGCUGUCAUCAGGCCUACCCUGCCGAGGAGCUGACAUCAAAACUGACUGUCAAAGCUGGACGGGGAGCUUUUGCACAUGUUACUUUUUUCUUUGCAUGAAGUAUUCCCCUCAUCUGCUUCCAGGCCCAGGUAGGGAGGGUGCUGGGCACACACCUGUCCUGCUGCUGCCACAGGGAGGGGCGGCAGGGGACAGCCACCAACACAGGUGUGCAAAGCAGCCUCACCCGCCCGCCACACGCCCCUGUGCCAUCUGCCUCUAACCUGGCCCAGUCCUCGCCCUCCCAAAACCAAUUCUUAAACACCUACAAGUUUUCUCCUUUAAAGAAAAAAUGAGCUGCAUAAAAAUAAGACACGUUUUAGGAAUAAAGUGUGAAAGAUUACAAGACGUAUCCAGGGCUGAGAGAACACGGUGCCUCUGCUGCCGGUCCCCAGAGGAACGCUUGAACAAAGAACUGCCUCUGCCUCUAGCGCAGGGCCCCACUCCCCCCGGAGCCAGUUCUCCCGCUGAGGUCCAGACCUGGGCAGCAACGUGGUCCGGUGCUCGGGCUUGGGGGGCCCUGGCAUGUGUCUGCAUAUGUGUAUGUACAAACACCAGGCCACUGCCAGGAAUCGCUGCCCAGCAGUCCCUGGUGAGGUCCAGGUUCUGUCUCUAUAUGCAUAAAGUGCUUGGGUGAUUGACAAAGCUGGGUGGGUAUCUCGGAGGGAGAGGCUCCUGGAGACUGGGGGACGCCGAGGCCGCAGGCUCUUCCUGGGCACAGUGCCUGCUGACCUUCCCUAAGCAGGAGCUCGCUUUGGCUUUGAGUCGGCAGUGGUCUCAGGCCCUUGCCUGUCCUCCGGGGCUGCCCUGGGGCUAGAGGGUGGUGGCACCCACGCCUGCUGAGCCAGGCAGCUGGAGGGGCAGAAAUUCUGUGAUCCCCACCUGUAAAAGAUGGGAGACACCCCCCAAGCUGUGUGGCUCCAGAUGUGCUGGUUCUGCCCCGUGAGCUGCAGGGAGGCCGGCAGGCUGACUGUCCGUGGGGCCCAGGGCAGGGCUCAGCACCAGCGAUCAGCGCCAUGGGCUUGUCCCGAGGAGUCCAGCCAGCACACAGAGCCCACUCUGCAGGGCUCGGCAGGACGGGGGGCCCAGCCAGGCCAGAAAGGUCAGGCACAGAUGCCAGUCAGCAGCGCCGAGAGUCUCCGCUCAAUGCACAGCUUGCCUGUGGAGGGAGAGGGGAGUGUGAGGGAGACGCCCAGAGUCCCCAGCCCCCAGCCCAGCCGGGCACUCACACUUGGUGACGUUCUCGAUGUCGGCCUGGUCCGAGAGCAUGUGCUGCAGCCCCUCCAGGAGCAGCAGGGCCUUGUGGUAGCGUGGGACGCAGCCCUCACGGUGCUGGAACAUCUCGUCCAGGGCAGCCGACUGCACCUGGGGGCGAGGACAGAGGCUGGACAGGGCCAGCUCACCCCACUCCCUCCCAGCAAGGGCUGCCCUGCACCCACGGCAGCGGCCCAGGGGUGGCAGAUAGGCGCUCAGGGCAGUGACGUGGAGACAUAAGUGCUGGUGCAGCCUGCUGUGCAGAGGGGAUGGUCACAGGGCCAAGGGGAGACACUGCCUGGAACCAGAUGACCCUGGCCAGCGCUCUCAGCCCGGCCCCAGGACAACAGAGUGCCCGCCGCUCAGUCAGUGUCAUUACUGCUGCUGCCUGGCCUGCCUGGGCGGGAAGGGGGGCAGGAGGGAGGCUGACACCUGACUACGAGGCCUGAAGACCAAGUCUCUCAUUUUACAAUUGGGGAAACUGAGUCGGGGCGAGGCAGGAUGCACAUGGGCCACGGCACCCGUACAAUCAAGGAUGCACCCAGCCGAGCUGCGAGCGCCUGCAGGAGGCUGGGGGUGCAUAAUGCUGUCAUUUCAAGACCUCCAGAAGUGACACCCCCCAAAGUCUCACCACGCUGUGGGCAUCAAGGUCCCGUCCCAGUGGAGACGGCGGGCCUGGAAGUUCCUGGCCCCUGCCCCACUGGUGUCUGUCUGUCCCGUACCAUCUGCACAGCGUGGCUGAAGAUGAGCCUCUCGGCAGUGAUGCUGUGAAUGCGGUCCAGGAGCCGCUGCUUGUCCAGGAAGAAGCGCUGCAGCCGCAGGCUCAGGCCCUGGCAGGACACCACGCUGGCCUUGUACAGCUCAUUCAGCCUGCGCACCACUGCAAAGGACGAGGGUGGUCAGCUCAGGGUGCAGCAGACACGGGGCAGGGCUGGAGUGGCCAUGAUCUGCCCGGUGCACUGAGCGAGCACGUCCCUCCCUCCCUGCCACAGCCCUGGCUCCCCGUGGCCUUGAGGGUGUGGCCAGGCUCCGCACCUUGUCCCGGGUGCCAUCCGACCCCACGGCCUCUGUGCUCUGCAUACUGGGCUCCAGGGUGCUGUCCGACCCAAUGGCCUCUGUGCUCUGCACACUGGGCCAGGCCCCGGGGCCUCUGCACCUCUGCACAGGGGCCUACUCAAGCAGCCUCCCUGUUACCCUGUCACCCAGGCAGUUGCAAGGUGGGCUUCCUCCCCAACCCGGCAUGUGGGCUGAGCGGUCGCAGCCCUCACCCUGCUUCACAGUGGACGACAGGCAGAGCUUGCCGGCCCGGAUCUGGUCGAUGGCACUUUGCAGGCCGGAGGACAGUAGCUCGGCCACCUUCAGGUACAGCACCAGCUGUUCCGCGAAGCUGGGGGCGGCAGGCAGAUCAGAGGAGGCCGGUUGGUCCUGGCCCCCAGGCCACCACCCGCCCCACCCCAGCCCUGGCGGCACCCACCCCCAUUCUCGGCUCAGCAGGCUGAUCUGGUCGGCCACCACACUCUCCUGCAGCUGGUACUCAGGGCCCCCCGCCGCCUCACUGGCGCUGCCCUUCAGGGCUGCGAUCUCCAGGACGUGCUGCACGAACAGCAGCGUGAAGCGCAGGCCACGCAGGAUCUCCGUGUGCUCUUGCUGCAGGAAGCGGCCGUCAGGGCGGCAAGUGCUGCCCGGGCUUGGAAGGGGCUUGUCUCCCUUCAGACUCACCGAUGACGCCUUGGGGAGGCAGGGCAGGGUACCCUCCCCUGCUGCAGCCCGGGCAGCUGGGAUGUGCCACGCCCGACACCCCACACACCCUGCACCCCACACACCGUACACCCCACACAGCCGACACCCCACACACCCUGCACCCCACACACCCGACACCCCACACACCCUGCACCCCACACCCUGCACCCCACACACCCUGCACCCCACACACCCUGCACCCCACACACCCUACACCCCACACCCUACACCCCACACACCCGACACCCCACACACCCGACACCCCACACACCCGACACCCCACACCCCACACACUCUACACCCCACACACUACACCCCACACCCCCGACACCCCACACCCGACACCCCACACACCCUAUACCCCACACACCCGACACCCCACACACCCCACACACCCUCCAGCCAGAAUGGGAACCUUUGCUCACUCCAGCCCUCACCUCCAUGAGGGUCUCCUCAGGGAGGUCGGGGGCCUCGAAGGUCACAGCCCCCUCCAGGUUCGCAGUAAUGGGGUCGGCAAAGCUGCAGCCGUGUCCUGGAGCAGGGAGCUCAGGGGCUGGGGCCUCGCUGCAGGGCCCAGGCACCAGGUGGCGGGCAGAAGAGCUGGCAGAGCCAGUGGGGCCCGCUGCAGGGAGAGGGCGAUGAGGGGCACACCAGGACCAGCAGACACCGUGGCCCCCAUCCAUCCCCCACAGACUCCCACACCUCCAGGGCCCAAUGUGCCUCUGCCUCGGUUUACACCUGUUAUAUCCCAAUGCUCCAACAGGAGAAGCACAGCAGGCCCCUAGAGCCACUCCUCAACCUCUUGCCACUCACCACAACCCCCAAGUCCCCAGCUCCCCACCUCAGGCCAAGGGCUGCGGUGCCCACCAAGGGACCCUCUGGGUAUCCCGACCCCCAGCCCAGAUCUGCCUGGGAGGAGGGCAGCUGCCACUGUCUGGAAUGGGGUAGGUGCGUGGCUUGGUGUGCUACUGUGCCCCACAGCUGGGCCCAAGGCCCAAAAGGACCUCAAAGGGCAAGGCAGUCCCCCAUCCUCGCUAUGGGGCUGGCAGGUGACCCCAGCGAUGGCAGCCCCUGGCCAGGACCAGACGCCCACAAGCCCACCCCUCCCCAGGCAGAACCCGCAGUGGGGACCCAGCCAGGCCCCAGGCCCAGAGCAUCCCCACACACCACUGGCUGGGGAACCGAGGGGCACGCCUGUCUGCACGGCCUGUGCUCAUCAGGGCAACUCCUGACCAACACAGCACAGCCCACGGCAGCUGGGCAAGGAGGCCAUGAUCCAGACACCGUCCCUGCUCACCUCAUGUUUUGGGGAUAAAUGGGAACGAGCGCCUACCGCUCACAGGUUGAGUGGCAGGGGUGGUCUGAGGGGUGGAUACCAGAACCACGUCCAUUUCGCAGACGGGGAGACAGAGCAGGGGUUUCUCAGGGGCCUGAGCUGCUUCCUCAGGCACCCCUGGGCUCUGGGGGGCUGUAGUCCAGUGACCCGAGUUAAAGGAUGCCCCCGUCCGCUAGGGCGCUGCCACCACCCCAAAAGGGACAGGGCUUCAGCCUAGCCAGCCCUCACCUGAGAACAUCCUGGUGCGGGGGCCCUGGGGGGGCGUGCUCCCGCUCGGGGGAGAGCCCACGGUGAAGACCACCGGGGAAGGGCUGCUGGUGCCCCCAGCACGGGCUCCUGGGUGCAGGCUCCCUCCAAAGCCAGCUGAGGGUGCUGGGAGAGCAAGGAAGGGCUCAGGAGCAUCCUGACUCCCGCCGACCCCCAUCCCACAGCCUCCGAGCCGAACCCGACCCCCAUCCCACGGCCUCCGAGCUCCCCCCAACCCCCGUCCCACAGCCUCCGAGCCGAACCCGACCCCCGUCCCACAGCCUCCGAGCCGAACCCGACCCCCGUCCCACAGCCUCGAGCCCCAUCCCACAGCCUCCAAGCCCCACCCGACCCCCAUCCCACAGCCUCGAGCCCCAUCCCACAGCCUCCGACCCCCAUCCCACAGCCUCCGACCCCCAUCCCACAGCCUCCGACCCCCAUCCCACAGCCUCCGAGCCCCACCCACCCACACACCGAUCUCCAUGGGCUUCUCCUGCAGGCUCUCCGUGCUGCCCGGGUCCGGGGCUUGUGUCCCAAACGCCGCCUUAAGGAGCAGGUCAGUGAGGCGGCUGGUGCUGAAAGACCUGUGGGAGUGUGCAGGGCUGUGCUGGGUGCCCGGCCCACCCCACCCUAACUGGACCUCGAGAGGUCCCUCUGCAGGCCAGACACACAUGAUGCACGGUCUCCUGGCCCACCUCGAGAGGCAGGCGCUCCUGUCACCCCAGCUUACAGGCGGGCAUGGCGAGGCUCAGGACGGGGACCUGCUGUGGGUCUAGGGCCAGCCACAGGUGGGCCAGGCUCUCUGGCACCCAGCCACACUGGGCACCCACAGAAGGGCAAGGCUGGGCUUUUCCUGUUCUACCCCCCAGAAGUACCCAGCAGAACAAUGCAGGGGAAAGAGGCUGCCCCUCAGAAGCCCGUCCAAGGCCUGUCCCCUCAACUCACCGGCCAAAGGGGCCCUUGGGGUCCUCGCCUGGCCGCAGGCCAGGGCCCAACGGCUGACCAUGGAAGGGUCCCACCUCCGAGAGGUCGGGCAGCGUCCGGUUUCGAGGGGGCGUCAUCACCACGCCCUGCCGGGCUAGGAGGGCCAGCAGGUUCUGGGAGCUGGGGGUCUUCGGGAAGUCAAAGGAGGGCACAGCCUAGGAGGACAGAGAUGGGGUGAAGACUGCCCCGCAGGUCUGCAGCCCUGGGGCCCGGUGCCUGGGGAAGGGGCCGAGUCCGCAGGAACUGGCAGGCAUGUGGGAGCAGCCUGAGCAUGAGCCCAGGCGGGGGUCAAAAGGUACAGAGCUGCCUUCCUCGGUCUUUGUUCAGGACUGGCCAUUCCCACACAUCUUCCCCAGGGCUCUGUGCCCCUGCACACAUGGCAGUGCCCAUUACCUUGGUGGGGGAGCCCAGGAUGGGGGGCAGGGGGUUUCGCUGCAGGAAGUCGGGCAGCUUGGGUGAGCCCCGCAGGUUCCGGCAGGACUGCAGGCCGUGGGACGGCUGGGGAGGGCUGGCCUGUGGUGGGCUGAACACAGCUCCCAGGGGGUCCGUGGGGGGUUUGGGCAGCUUGGGGCGGACGACGUGCAAGUCAGACAGGUUGGGGGCGCUGUGCAGGCGGCAGCCCAGCCCGGAAGUGCGGGGAGAGUGCUCGGGUGCAGAGGAGCCUAGAGAGAGACACGCCUCGUCACGACCUUCCGGUCCGGCGGCCCAGCCCUAGGCCCCACUGCUACCACACGGAGCCCCUUGGGGUAGACGCACUCCAAGGCCCCACUCUUUUUCUUUUGUUGAGACGGGGUCUCGCCCUGUCAUUCAGGCUGGAGUGCGGUGGUAUGAUCUCGGCUCACUGCAACCUCUGCCUCCCAGGUUCAAGCGGUUCUCCUGCCUCAGCCUCCCGAGUAGCUGAGGCGCCACUCUUAAACCUGACCCUCAGCCAGCACAGAAGACUGGCACAGAGGGGAUAAGAAACUUGCCCCAGCCCACACAGCCAGGAGGUGGAGAGGCAGUUGGCUUCUGUUCCACCAGCUUCCUUCCCACUCCUUUUCACUUGGAAAGAGCAAGGGCUUUAGACCAGGAUGACAACGUGAGCGAGGGAGGUCAGCCUAGCACCCCCUCCCCCCUCCGGACUGCACCCACCUGGACGAGGGGACCUGCCACCCCGCAUCUCAGCUCCCUGUGGGGAGGGCGUCCCGCUCCAGCCUGGCCGCUCAGGGAUGGUUCCAACUUGGGGAAAAGAGAGAUCUGUCAGGGUCCAGCUGGGACAGAGACAGCCUCCUCACCCACUGCCUACAGACGCCCCUUCCCAGGCCCCAGCCUGCAGGCGCACCUUGAGGAGAUGGCGUGUAGGGCCGGCCUCCACCCAGAGACAUCUUCCUGGCCAGGACGCCUCCAUGCUCAGCGUGGGCAGGGGGCGAGGGGCUGGCCCUUGCAAAGCCCAGGGGGCUGGUGCUGCCUGACCUGCGGAUGGCAGAGGACCUGAAGACAAGGCAGAUAUUAGGAGGGGAGGCCUCAGCAGCCCUGCCUGACCUGUGGACGGCAGAGGACCUGGGGACAAGGCAGGUAUUAGGAGGGGAGGCCCCAGCAGCCCAGGACCCCAUGCCACGCCAAGUGGCUACAGUGCUGACAGAUGGCUCAUCCUCUAAUGCACUCUGUCCAGGUAACCGGCCACACAGUGGGUGUGUGGGAGGAGUUGGCCCCUUAGCUUUCCUGCCCGGGGUGCCAACCCAAGGCACCCUCACCCUAAAGUCUCCAUCCCCUGCCAGACACCCACUGGCCCACACAGCCUUCUGUGAGUUAAAAGAAAGGUACCCUUUCCUCCCACCAUUUACUUCUGUCUGUUAAAACUGGCCAAAGUCAAUAUUGAUUUUAUAAACUAGAGAGAUUUUACUGAUCAGAAAACUGUCAAAAUAACUCUAGAAACCCAAGACAUCAACAAAGUAAAUGGUGGUGCUGAGUUACGCAGUGCGCAGCCUGCACAACUGCACAUGGAUGACGACCCUGUCCCUCUAUGGGAGCCGUGGAAGGGCUCCUGCCACACAAGGCCCCAGCCACGCCUGGCUACCUGGGGGCUCCACACUCACCGAGGUGUUUGGAACUGGGUGGGUGACUGCAGGUUUCGCUCAAUGCGCUGGUAGUUCUGCACCUGCGUGGGGACUGGGAUGGGGACAGAGGCGCCGCACCUGCUGCUGGAGAACGGGCCAGCCCGGCUGUGGUGGAGAGAGGUCAGGAUCAUGACAGACACUGGGGUCACAAGAGGCUGAGGUCAUGGAGCUGGGGCACCAGAAGAAAGCCUAGGCCCAGACUUCCUAGUUAGGGCAGAGGCCACCCUGAGACCCAUGCCAGGUCUGAAAAGAGCCGGCUUCCAUGCCUCUACACACACCAGAAAUGUGGCACCUGCACCCCACCUGGACUCCCAGUCUGCACCCAGCCAGUGGGGGGCCACCCUGGCCGGGGCCCUGGCCAUUCCUGGCCCUACAGGCUCGACUGUGCUGGCCCUGGCGUCCCUGGUUGGUUUCCUCAUUCACCUACUCCUGUCAAUGCUCCUCCCACUAUAGUCCCUUCUGCAGGACGACCCAGCAGACCCCAUCCUGCGAGGCCUGGGAGAAGAAGGCAGGGGCCUCUGGACACAGCAGGCCUGGGCUGGCUGCGACACACAGGAAGCCCAACCUCCAGCCGGGGGACUGUUCACAGCCCCAUCCACCCAGCCUGGGGCCCUGCUUACCCUGAGGGACUGGGGGAGCUGCUGCAGGGUGGGGAUGGAGAUGGGGUCCGGCCGUGGCUCUCCAAGCCCGCAGAGGCCACCAGUGAGCUCCUGUGGGGCAGAAGGGAGGCCAAGGGCAUUUUUUUGUUUUUUUUGGGGCAGUCUCACUCUGUCACCCAGGCUGGAGUGCAGUGGCGCAAUCUCGGCUCACUGCAACCUCUGCUUCCUGGGUUCAAGCGAUUCUCCUGCCUCAGCCUCCCGAGUAGCUGGGAUUACAGGCAUGUGCCACCACGCCUGGCUAAUUUUUUGCAUUUCUUUUUUUUGUCAGUAGAGACGGGGUUUCACCAUGUUGGCCAGGAUGGUCUCAAUCUCCUGACCUUGUGAUCCAUCCGCCUCGGCCUCCCAAAGUGCUGGGAUUACAGGCGUGAGCCACCACGGGCCAACGGCAUUUACUUUUUUUUUUUUUGAGACAGAGUCUCGCUCUGUCACCCAGGCUGGAGUGCAGUGGCGCGAUCUCGGCUCAUUGUAAAUAACACGGGCCACUUCCAAGGCCACAGUUUCUCUCCCCUAAAAUACAGAGGUAAGGGAUGGGGGCUCACCCACUGCACAUCAGGCUGUCUGGCGGGGGUUUGGCACUGGGCGCCUCAGCCACCAGGUCACCUGCAGGGGGAGACAAGGCUGGGCCUGGAGUCCUUGCCGCCUGCCCAGGGCCACCCCACCCCACCGAGGCUCUCUGCUGGAUCCCCACGCACACUCCACCUUGCAGGGGCCUCAGCUCGUACAGCGGCCUUGCGGGGGGCAGAGCCUGGGUGGUACAGUCCAGGCUGCAUCCUCCCUGCCAGCCCCAGGCCAGCUCCGGGAGACCAGAGCGCUACCUGCCCCCGCUUAUCCCCACUUGGACUCUGCGCCUCCUGUCUCCUCAGCCCCAGAGACCCCUGGGGCCCUGCCCCCCAGCCUUUAGCUAACUCCAGGAUGGGCGGGGGAGGUCAGGCAUCUACAGCCCUAAGUCUGGGCCCAACCCCCUCCAGGAAUACCCAGGUUCCCACCCCCAAGGAGGCUCUGCCCUACCCCUGGUGUCCGUCUUCCUGUUGCCCUGACAGCUGGCAAAGGACCAAGGCCCUCCCCGGGUCUGUCUGGGGCUUGGCUCGGGCCUCACCACCCCCGCAGAAGCCAUGCUGAUGGGAGAGGCGGAGGGCUCGGCAUGAGUCAUUGUGUCCCUGGCAGACACGGGGACCAGUGCCAACCCAGACCUCCAGGAGCUUUGGGACAGCCAGGGACAGAGUGCAGGGCCUUCAGAGGAGCCACAGACCCCAGGCCUGCUCCAAAAGUUUAGGCACCUUCAUUCAACAAACACGUGGGCAGCCCCUGGCCAUUAUGGAGCGGGGGGUUCCCCAAAAGCCAAGGAAUAAACCCACCUGCAGGGUGUAGAGGCAACAAGAGUUGCUGAGAAACAAGGUAGGGGUACAUGGCGGGGGAGGGGCAUGAGGUGAGCGGCCCCCACCCAUCCGAAGAGCAGCACUGUCUAAGGAGACCAGGCCUAUGGCCUCCGACCUCCUACUGACCACUAGGAGGACCCGGCUUUGAUUCCAGGAGUGGUUUUAACAGACACGGCCUCCCCAACCAAGCUGGGCCGAUGCCGGUGGCUCCCAGGGGCCCAUCCUAACUGCCCAUAAGUGGAAAUGUGUUACACACUGUGCAUCCAACACAUGCAAUGCACUGUCCCCGCCGCACCUGAGGCGUCACCUCCAAGCCCAGCGUGCCCCCUGACCUGGAAACUGCGCGGGGACCAUGACGAAGUCGUCUGUGUCACAGGAAGAGUCCUUGCUGCCACCAGAGUCCCGGGAGCUGUGCAGGAAGCCAGCGGUGUCAGCCGGGGAGGCCAGGGUCUUCUGCAGCUGCUGCAUCUCGCCCAGGGACUGAGAGUCAACGGAGGGGCUGGUGAGCAGGUCUCAGGGACCUACACACUCAGGGGAGCAAAUUCCCCCUCCUGGGAUGGCCCAGAGCCCCAGUAAAGAUCGGGGCGCUGGGGCUGAGAAGGGCUGGGCACGUCUUUCUUCCUGUGCUCCGCUCUUCUCUGUACUUCCAGAGCACUCCACUCAAAGGCCAGCUUUGACCUCGCAGGGACAGGCCCCCCGACGAGCCACUCUCACCAUGCAGCCUGGGUGGGUUGAAGCCCUCAGCUCCCAGAAGCUCUGGGAGGCCCUGUUUUGGGGAGUUGUUCACCACCUGCCCUCUGCACCUCACUUUUCCAUCGGCAUAGCCAAGAGAACGAGGUACCAUGGAAGGCGUGUCCAGUGGAGAGGCUGCCACCCCGGUGGGCCCUGCUCUGAGGCCAGCACCAUGCUAAGGCCCAGGGCACACCAUCCGUGCGGUGGUGGCUAAAGCCCCAAGUGCCCCAGGGCAGGUCUGCGGAUGCCACAGCUCCCUACAGCAGGGCGCUGCCACGCUCCCCUCGCCACAUCUGAGCUUUCGGCCAUGAUACAGGCAGACAACCAAGGUCAGAGGACCGGUCCCUGGUCACAGAGCAGGGGGCCAGGCCAGGAGAGCCCAGACAUGAACUCAUCACCACCAGCCACAACACCAUGCCUGAGAGCCAGGCUCCCAGUCAGAUGGACAGAGGGACGGGGGUUCAUGGCCGACUCAGGUGCUCUGCAGACCCCUCCCAUGUCACACAAGGAGUGCCAUCAUCAUGUGGGGCCAUCACCCUGCAACCCUACUCAUGCUUUGAGUCCAAUGGAAGACACGAGGGAGGCCAGGGGUGCAGGUGUCAGUGGGCCAAGGCCACACGCUGCUUCUGUCCACGUCAGCACAAAACCAAAGACAGGACCAGACCAAACAGCCGCCCUAUCGGCCUCUGGGACCUGAGGGCUGUGGGUGUUGGGAGGGGCUGUCACCCGUUUGUGGGGCUUCAACAUCUGACAGAAUGAACUCAUCCAUGUCUUUCGUGACUCACACAGACAACAGAAGUCACAGCACGUCCCCGCGGGGGCCCAGGGCUGGAGCCCCUGACUGCUGAGUGGAGGGAGAAGCUGCCAAGCCCCUGGGGCGGCAACUCACCGGCGGGGAGGCCAGGUGGGAGGUGGAGCUGCUGCUGGAGCUGCUGCCGGACCCCGAGCUUGGGUACGAGGGCACAGGCACGGGUGGGGCUGAGAUAAACAUGCAUAGGUCAGUCUGGGCCAUCCUCCUGUCUCCUCCUCACCCUCGAG